rnacentral:rRNA from 1 species
AGAGUUUGAUCCUGGCUCAGGACGAACGCUGGCGGCGUGCUUAACACAUGCAAGUCGAGCGGUAAGGCCUCUUCGGGGGUACACGAGCGGCGAACGGGUGAGUAACACGUGGGUGACCUGCCCUCAGCUCUGGGAUAAGCCUGGGAAACUGGGUCUAAUACCGGAUAUGACCACAUGUUGCAUGGUGUGUGGUGGAAAGUUUUUUCGGCUGGGGAUGGGCCCGCGGCCUAUCAGCUUGUUGGUGGGGUGAUGGCCUACCAAGGCGACGACGGGUAGCCGGCCUGAGAGGGCGACCGGCCACACUGGGACUGAGACACGGCCCAGACUCCUACGGGAGGCAGCAGUGGGGAAUAUUGCGCAAUGGGCGGAAGCCUGACGCAGCGACGCCGCGUGGGGGAUGACGGCCUUCGGGUUGUAAACCUCUUUCGACCGGGACGAAGCGUAAGUGACGGUACCGGUAGAAGAAGCACCGGCCAACUACGUGCCAGCAGCCGCGGUAACACGUAGGGUGCGAGCGUUGUCCGGAAUUAUUGGGCGUAAAGAGCUCGUAGGCGGUGUGUCGCGUCGGCCGUGAAAACUUUCAGCUUAACUGGGAGCUUGCGGUCGAUACGGGCAUCACUGGAGUUCGGCAGGGGAGACUGGAGUUCCUGGUGUAGCGGUGAAAUGCGCAGAUAUCAGGAGGAACACCGGUGGCGAAGGCGGGUCUCUGGGCCGAUACUGACGCUGAGGAGCGAAAGCGUGGGGAGCGAACAGGAUUAGAUACCCUGGUAGUCCACGCCGUAAACGUUGGGCGCUAGGUGUGGGGGCCAUUCCACGGUCUCUGUGCCGCAGCUAACGCAUUAAGCGCCCCGCCUGGGGAGUACGGCCGCAAGGCUAAAACUCAAAGGAAUUGACGG